rnacentral:lncRNA from 10 species
UGGAGUGCAGUGGCGCAAUCUCGGCUCAUGGCAACCUCCACCUCCCAGGUUCAAGUGAUUCUCCUGCCUCAGCCUCCCGAGUAGCUGGAACUACUCAGGCACCCGCCACCAUGCCCGGCUAAUUGUUUGUAUUUUUAGUAGAGACAGGGUUUCACUGUGUUAUCCAGGAUGGUCUUGAUCUCUUGACCUCAUGAUCCACCCGCCUCGGCCUCCCAAAGUGCUGGGAUUACAGGCGUGAGCCACCGCACCCAGCCGGAAACUGAAUAGGUAUUACAAGGAAGGAACAGUCUCUGUUUUCCUGAACUUCCUCCCGUUCAAGUUAAACUGGAGAAGAUCAUGCCAGGAGAAAAGGGAGUGAUUAUUUCAAUCACAAGACAUGAAAUCAGGAUGAUGAACACAUUUGGCAAGAAUCUAGUUCCAGGAAACAUGUUUUGAUGCUGCUUAACACAGCUUUUGGAAGUUGAUGAACAUCAUCAAAGUGUGAACCCAUCUCAGCUGACAAGGGGGACACAAAUUUGCUGCCUUCCUAUGUCAGCAUCUGAAGAGAUGGCAUGUGGAUGGGAACCAGCCAGGACAGCUGUGGAGGCAGCCAUAUCGCUGAAGAAGUGCAGGCUGCACCUGACCUUUCCCAGUGACCAAGGCAGUGCACACAGGGCCACACAGGGACAUCCUUCCAUGUUUUAUGUUGUUUGACUGAUGAUGACAUUACUGUUUAGACAUUUGGACUGCAAGGAGAAAUCCCACCACAGAUAAGUAGAUCGUCUUGUCUUUGCAUGGGCAUGCUGCCCUGGCUUGUCUGAUGUGUGCAUUAUGGGACGUAUGCACAGGAACAGCUCAGUUACCCACUCACCAGUCGUGAGGGUGCAAGACCUCUAAAAGUGAGGCCUGUAACUUGUUCAUCUUCAAGAUAGAGACUUCACAUUUCGGUGUAAUCACCAUCAACACUUACUGAAUUGAUCCGAAUUCAAUAAAUAUGAAUUCACGGAUAAUCUGCCAAAUUUAAAAUAUUGCCCUAGUGGUUUGGGGUGCACAGAGUUAAGUGAAACCACCCAUUCUUAGGGAUCAUCCAAUGCAGGAGUGCUGGCAUAUUCAUCAGCAAGGGCUGUCACACAGAACAUCACAGGCCCUGUGCUUACGCAACCGUUUCUGCUGAGGCCUCUCUUCCUGCUUAUAGACAGUGCCUUUUCACUUUGAGCUUGCUUGGCCUCUUCUCUGUGCAUGCACAGAGAGAGAGAAAGGGAGAACAGGCAGCCUCUGGCGCCUCUUCCUGUUCUCAUGACACUAGUUAAUAAGGUUCGGUUCUGUGUCCCCACCCAAAUCUCAUCUUGAAUUGUAGCUCCCAUAAUUCCUACUUGUUGUGAGAGGACCUGGUGGGAGAUAAUUGAAUCGUGGGGGUAGUUUCUCCCCACACUAUUCUCAUGAUAGUGAAUAAGUCUCAUGAGAUCUGAUGAUUUUAUAAGGGGUUUCCCCUUGGCUUGGUUUUCAUUCUCUCUUGCCUGCUGUCAUGUAAGAUGUGUCUUUCACCUUCCAUCAUGAUUGUGAGGCCUCUCCAGCCACGUGGAACUGUGAGUCCAUUAAACUUCUUUUUCUUUAUAAAUUACCCAGUCUUUGGUAUGUCUUUAUCAGCAGUGUGGAAAUAGACUAACACACCAGUCCUAUUGGAUUAGGGCCCCACCCUUACGACCUGACUAGACCUUAAUUACUUUCCUGAAGGCCCCAUCUCUAAUAUAGUCACACUGGAGGGUUAGGGCUUCAACACAUGAAUUUGGCUGGGGAGGCACAGUUCAGUACACAACAGAUGGGAACCAUCUUUUUUUUUCUGUUUCAACUUUUUUUUCAGUAUCAACUUUUUGUUUUGUUACAGUGAUUUAGCAUAAAACAAGUAGACACUAAUGUAACAUGCUCACUUAAAAUUCCAAGAAUUCUCAAAAAUUCUCGUACUAUGAACUGACCUUCUUAGUUUCUAAAACUGAAGAAAUCAUUGUAAUUUAAAACAUAAAUCAUCUCAAUCAUAAACAUUAAGAGUUUCCUUGGUGUUCACUCUUGGGAUAUUUCAAAAGAUGAUAAAGUAUGAAAUUAAGCAGAGCCUAUUAAGAUCAACCAUUUUUUAUUAUAUGACCUAUUCAUUUCAAAAUGUAGAUGCACAUAAUAAAUAAGUUUUCCAGUGUGUGCCUGCUCAGAGGUUUCUACACUCUCAGAAAGAAACCAAGCUAAUUACACAUGAAAUAUCAACUGGUGAGCAAUUAUAACCUGAAAAAUACCCUCAUGAUUUUGUAUAUUUUAUAAAUUUAUGAGUUGGGCAAAAAAUGUUAUAUCUAUACCAUGAAUUCAGAAACAGUGGUAAAAUAUGGUCAUAACAAACAGUAUGUGUAUAUAUACACACACGUAUACACAUACACACAUUAUACAUACACGUACCUCAUACACACACACACCUCAUACACACACACCCACACACCCACACCCACCACUAUCAUAAACUUCUGCUUUUAUUUGGCUGGUAAUAUGUACAAAUGAAUAUUUCUGAUUUGUUAGCUUUCUUGGCAUAUUUCUGUCUAAUUUUUUUAAUCUCUCCUCCUUCUUUUCAGAUAAGAAAAACAUGCUCUCUCUUCUCUAAUGAUUGGACAGACUCCUACUCCAAAACAGAAGAUCUCAACUCUGGAAGAGAACAGAUGCCUUCCACUGUGUGAGCGUAAAUUCAGAGCCUUCCAACUUGACAUUCUCAUCGACAAAUUAUUUAAACAUGACGGCUCUUUUAUAAAGAGUGUUAUCUUAAAAGGAAAGGAAUCAAAGGGCUGAACAUGUUGAAGGGAGGAGAAACAAGACCCCCAGGACUUGUCAAUGGCACACAUGAAAGACAGAAAACACCAGAAGCCAGUCUUCAGCCUGCUGGCCCAGCCAUGGCCACUGUAACGUACGGCUAAACCCCUGCCCCGAUCAGCUCUCAAGGCUCUGAGCCAACUGCCUAGACCGUCUAUUUGAGAUCCCUGAGAGUUUCAACACAGGGCAUGGCUGACCUCUCCACCGUGUCAUUUCCAGUAAUGCGGCCUCACUGAUAGCAGAAGUUCGGAGAGCUCUUGUCAGAGAGGCCAGCUGGCACCAUGUGAGUCUUACCCAGAGGGAAACCUGACAAUCUUCCAGCAUGCUCACCAGACUGGGGCACUGACUUUUGUCACUUGAUUCUCAACUCACAGUCUCAAGAUGCUGGUGCUAAUGUACAUUGCAGCUGACACUGGAGUUUAUUUUUAUAACUGCUCUUGCCUCAGAAAAAGCUCCAUCCCAGUACGACUUCCAGGACAGGGAUGGUCUGGAUGCUGCAGUUAGGACAAUGAUCAUCUCGUUCUCUUAGUGGUUAGGAAUCCUGUGGGCUUAUGGAAUAAGCUCGCUGAAACAGACAGUGACAUCCACGGUGACACUGACCGAAUUGUGCUCCAGUGGCCUAGAGAGUGCCUAUUAUUUAUCUCAUUUCUGUUCUGCAUAAUAACACCAACCAAACCGCUAAUGAAUGAAUAUUAUUACAUGCUUUGGUAGGAACGCAAAGGCAAAUUGGGCUCACUGUAGAGAAUAUCUUGCUCCUCAUUUUGUAUUAAAAUGCCUAGACGCCCCUCAAGAGACCAUGUCAAGGAUGAAAUUUAUCCACUGCCUGCAUUUGCUAAUUUGAAAGAGUUCUGAUUUCAUCUGCCGGGCUUAAUAUAGAAAUUCUUUUAACCUGAACAGAUACACAGAAAUGUGGAAUUUAUUCAAUGCCAUUUUCUUGAUUUAUGUCAGGAAAUAUAUAUGGCUAUGCUGUCAUCUUUUUAUAUAUAGACAUCAAUAUAUAUAAAUAUAUAGAGUCAAGUCAGAAAUUCUGAAACCACAUUGCACUUAGCCCUUACAGCAUAAUGCUUUCCAUAUUCUUCACAGUUUGUUUCCCUGAUCCUUUAGAGAGAGCUACUGUGUUUAAAGUGUAAACCAUUUUUACAGAAAAAAUGUAUUACAAUUCUAUAUGAUAAUUCUCAAAGUUCAGGAAAAUAAUCUGAAAUAAACAUUCUAAAUUGAGGAAUGAAUAAUAAAGACUCAUCAAUUGGGCUGGGAGCAGUGGCUCACGCCUGUAAUCUCAGUACUUUGGGAGACCGAGGCAGGCGGAUCACCUGAGGUCAGCCUGGC